rnacentral:tRNA from 1 species
AGGGAUUUAGCUCAGUGGUCUAAGUGCCUGCCUUAUAAGCAGGCAGUCGUGAGUUCAAUCCCCG